GCGCUUAAAAGUCUUUUGAAUGAAGUUGAGGGUAUCAUUUCUAAUAUGAACUUGGAAUUUUUGUGGAAUUCACACCCUGUGAUUCCGAUUUUUUUUUAUUUUGUUCCCAAAAUUCACAAAAACCUAAGAAAACCUAAGAUGUGACCUUGUUUUGCGAAGGAAAUGAGAUUAAAACAAAGUGUUUUUUUAAACCGACUGAUGGGAACAGCUAUGUUCAUAAACAAAGUUGUCACCACCAACCGUGGUUAAAGGGGAUAACAAAGGGGCAACUAACUAGAGUUAGAAGGAACUGUUCUCACAUGAAAGAUUUCCAUGUACAGGAACAACAUAUUGCUAGAAAACUCAUACAAAAAGGUUAUAAUCAGAAAAGAAUUGCGAGGGAAAUUCGUACUAUGUCCAAAAAAGAUAAAAAUGAAC